rnacentral:lncRNA from 1 species
UUAAUGGAUAAGCGUAGUUCUAAUAUUGUUCUCCUUUCAUGUAUGAUCAUCAGUAUCUUCAUGCUCCGUCAGCCCAAGUGUUUGUCAUUGACCCUGCUUCUUCAGAGAUUUACCAUGACAUCUCAAAUAAGGCUGCAAUGACUUAGUGAUUGUAUUUCAAAAUGCGCCAAAACAUACAAGGCAGGCAGCACUGGAGCAGCAUUAAGUGGACAGCAGGAACCAUAAAGCACAAUGAACAAAAGGACAACACAAGUUGUGGAGUGUUUGUGAUGCAGAUGGCAAGAAAGGUUGCUGAAAGUUUUCCACAAAUUCCUGCAUCAAUGACCAUAAAUCCAACAAGCAGCAGCAUAAGAAAGCUG